rnacentral:rRNA from 1 species
UACGGAGGGUGCAAGCGUUAUCCGGAUUCACUGGGUUUAAAGGGCGCGUAGGCGGGUUGGUAAGUCCGUGGUGAAAUCCCCAAGCUUAACUUGGGAACUGCCGUGGAUACUAUCAAUCUUGAAUAUCGUGGAGGUAAGCGGAAUAUGUCAUGUAGCGGUGAAAUGCUUAGAUAUGACAUAGAACACCAAUUGCGUAGGCAGCUUACUACACGAUCAUUGACGCUGAGGCACGAAAGCGUGGGGAGCAAACAGG